GGCCGGGUGGCUUUGCCUCCCUUUUCAUCAAAAAAAAUAUAAGAAAUAACUAAGUAGAAUAAAACUAGGAAUAGAAUUCUAGCAUAAGUAGGAUAAGUAAUGAUUCUCGACGCUCCCCCUCAUUGCGAAGUCCAUACUGACAAUGUUGAACUUGUCAAUGUCGAAGUCCAUGCUGAUAAUAUUGAACUUGUCGAUGUUGUGAAAUGCCACAACAACCAUUGCCAAUAUUGCCACAGUAACAACAAUAUGUAAUAUGGCUCGAACAGUAACUCCUUUGCUGGCUUGUCCUCUUCGAUGCAUAUGUCAAAAUCAACGAUGUCCUCUAACACUUCUCUUCAGAAUUGACUCUAUGGCCACAAUGUCGAUAUUCUAGGCAUCUAGCUUAUUUGAAUGAAUAUCAAGUUUCCAAUUAUAAUCACUGCUUACUAAAGCACUAGUCGUUAC
rnacentral:lncRNA from 1 species